GACGAACGCUGGCGGCGUGCCUAAUACAUGCAAGUCGAGCGCAGGAAAUCGACGGAACCCUUCGGGGGGAAGUCGAUGGAAUGAGCGGCGGACGGGUGAGUAACACGUAAAGAACCUGCCCUCAGGUCUGGGAUAACCACGAGAAAUCGGGGCUAAUACCGGAUGGGUCAUCGGACCGCAUGGUCCGAGGAUGAAAGGCGCUUCGGCGUCGCCUGGGGAUGGCUUUGCGGUGCAUUAGCUAGUUGGUGGGGUAAUGGCCCACCAAGGCGACGAUGCAUAGCCGACCUGAGGGGGGGAUCGGCCACACUGGGACUGAGACACGGCCCAGACUCCUACGGGAGGCAGCAGUAGGGAAUCUUCCACAAUGGACGAAAGUCUGAUGGAGCAACGCCGCGUGAACGAUGAAGGCCUUCGGGUCGUAAAGUUCUGUUGUAAGGGAAGAACAAGUGCCGCAGGCAAUGGCGGCACCUUGACGGUACCUUGCGAGAAAGCCACGGCUAACUACGUGCCAGCCGCCGCCGUAA
rnacentral:rRNA from 1 species